GUAGGCGGUUUAAUAAGUGAAUAGUGAAACCUGGUGGCUCAACCAUACAGACUAUUAUUCAAACUGUUAAACUCGAGAAUGGUAGAGGUAACNUGGAAUUUCUAGUGUAGGAGUGAAAUCCGUAGAUAUUAGAAGGAACACCGAUGGCGUAGGCAGGUUACUGGGCCAUUUCUGACGCUAAGGCACGAAAGCGUGGGGAGCGAACCGGAUUAGAUACCCGGGUAGUCCACGCCGUAAACGAUGGAUACUAGCUGUUGGAGGUAUCGACCCCUUCAGUAGCGAAGCUAACGCGUUAAGUAUCCCGCCUGUGGAGUACGGCCGCAAGGCUAAAACAUAAAGGAAUUGACGGGGACCCGCACAAGCGGUGGAUUAUGUUCUUUAAUUCGAUGAUAACCGAAGAACCUUACCAGGGCUUGACAUCCAGGGAAGGUCUGCGAAAGUAGACUGUGCCUUUUGGAACCCUGUGACAGGUGAUGCAUGGCCGUCGUCAGCUCGUGUCGUGAGAUGUUAGGUUAAGUCCUUCAACGAGCGCAACCCUUGUGAAUAGUUGUAUUUUUCUAUUCAGACUGCCCCGGUAACGGGGAGGAAGGAGGGGGAUGAUGUCAGGUCAGUAUUUCCCUUACGUCCUGGGCUAGAAACGUAAUACAAUGGCUAGUACAAUGCGCAGCA
rnacentral:rRNA from 1 species